GGGCCUGUAGCUCAGUUGGCUAGAGCGCUACAUUUGCAAUGUAGAGGCCACCGGUUCGAGCCCGGUCAGGUCCA
rnacentral:tRNA from 2 species